CCUACGGGUGGCAGCAGUGAGGAAUAUUGGUCAAUGGCCGGAAGGCUGAACCAGCCAAGCCGCGUGAAGGACGAAGGUGCCAAGCAUUGUAAACUUCUUUUGUCAAGGGACAAAAUCAGGCUCGAGAGCCUGACCGAGGGUACUUGAAGAAAAAGCAUCGGCUAACUCCGUGCCAGCAGCCGCGGUAAUACGGAGGAUGCGAGCGUUAUCCGGAUUUAUUGGGUUUAAAGGGUGCGCAGGCGGAGGUGCAAGUCAGCGGUCAAAUUGCGGGGCUCAACCCCGUACUGCCGUUGAAACUGCAUCCCUUGAGUGCGCGAGAAGUAUGCGGAAUGCGUGGUGUAGCGGUGAAAUGCAUAGAUAUCACGCAGAACUCCGAUUGCGAAGGCAGCAUACCGGCGCGCAACUGACGCUCAUGCACGAAAGCGUGGGUAUCGAACAGGAUUAGAUACCCGUGUAGUC
rnacentral:rRNA from 1 species